AUUGAACGCUGGCGGCAUGCUUUACACAUGCAAGUCGAACGGCAGCGCGGGGGCAACCCUGGCGGCGAGUGGCGAACGGGUGAGUAAUGUAUCGGAACGUAUCCUGUAAUGGGGGAUAACCAGUCGAAAGAUUGGGUAAUACCGCAUAUUCUGUGAGCAGGAAAGCAGGGGAUCGCAAGACCUUGCGCUGAUUGAGCGGCCGAUGUCAGAUUAGCUAGUUGGUGAGGUAAAGGCUCACCAAGGCGACGAUCUGUAGCGGGUCUGAGAGGAUGAUCCGCCACACUGGAACUGAGACACGGUCCAGACUCCUACGGGAGGCAGCAGUGGGGAAUCUUAGACAAUGGGGGAAACCCUGAUCUAGCCAUGCCGCGUGAUCGAUGAAGGCCUUAGGGUUGUAAAGAUCUUUCAGUGGGAAGAUAAUGACUGUACCCACAGAAGAAGCCCCGGUAACUCCGUGCCAGCAGCCGCGGUAAGACG
rnacentral:rRNA from 1 species